CUGCUGUUUGCGAGCGCUGAUAUCAUAAGGGUAAUCUAGUCUUUUUUUUAAAACGACAUGUCAUCCCAUUUACCUAGUAAAAAACGACAUGUCAUAUGAUAUAUUUUGAUAAAAAUGACAUGUCAUCCCAUUUAUCGGAUAAUUGUUAAUAAUUGCUAAAAAAAAAGCUACUUUACAACCGAAUAUACUCCUCCAAAAUUUAACCUAAAUUAUUGAAGAUCU
rnacentral:lncRNA from 1 species